AAAACCAUGGAGAUGGUGUUGACUCUCCUUUCCCUUCGUAGUCAGGCACAUUAAUCAACUGAUACUCAUAUGAGAAACCAGCAUUUGCUCUAUGAAAGAUGGGUGCUUCCUUAACAAUGGAAAGGUCUCCCAAGUCUCUGUAUCUCCAGUUGUAGAGUUUGGCUAAGCUUGGCCUCGCUCUUCCUUGAGCAUUAAGCUCGAUAUAUGGAAUACCAAAACGAACAAACCUCGUAAACAGACUCUGAUCCAUGUGACUGUAUUUCUGGAAAGCCAUGUUCUUCACCACGGGAGGCAGCUGGUGGUGAUCACCAAUCAAUAUACAGCGCUUGAGUCGUGAAUGGCCAUCUUCUUGCCUCUGAAGUAACAUUGGUAUGAAAGUCUCGAUUUCCAAAAUCUGAGCACUUUCUUCCAUCAGUAAGUUAUCAUACUUGAAUCCCAGCUUAAGAAAAUCUCUCCUCUUUAAUGCCGCAUGAGUACACGUCAUUGCUACAAUCUUUGCUUGUUUGGUCAUCAGGUAAUUUGCUCUAUCAGCAGUUGAUUUGAGUAGUUCGAAGGCCCUACACUCUUCUAGCUCAUGGAACACGGUCUUGAGAUGAGUGAAACAACCUUUAGCUGCCCUCAUGUCUUUCUCAAAUGACUCCCCGCUAAAAACAGGUUUAGGCGCGUCUGAGAAGAAUUCUUUGAACGGGAAGCGAUCUUGAACAAACGAUGGGUUGUUUUCAUUUCCACCACAAGCAGCAAGAAAUAGCUCCCAACGCGAGUAGACAUGAAGCAACCAGAAAUACCCAGCUGUUUCACAUGUAUAACCUACAUCCUCUGGAAGUUGAAGUGAUCUUGCUAAUCUUUCAACCUCGCUGAGCAGUUCUAAACGUCGAACAAGCAUGGCAUUGACACGGCCUUGUCUGCUAAAGUCAAGAUCGGUGGCAAGCUCUUGUUCACCUUGACCUAGACGGAGUAGAUACCGCGCUGGCACAUCCCUCUGAAAAAACAAACCCAUGUAACAUUUGUCGGUCAGAACCUGUUAAACCAUUACUCCAUAUAACAAAAAAAAAACAGAGACGCCAAUGUACCUCCAUUAUCUUCUCGAAAAGAUCAUUCAAAGCCUGAUUUGAAUGAGUGAUAAUUAAGGUCCUUUGUGAAGGACAGUUAUGAUAUAGCACAUUUAAGAUUUGCACAGCUGUAUCAGUCUUUCCGGUACCCGGUGGACCAACCACCAUAGUGAGCCCAGGCUGAAUACCAGAAAUGAUCGCUCCAACCUACAGGACAAUAAUAAGUAUGGUUUGAUUAAAAAUUGCAACUAAAAACUAUUCAUCUUGAAUCCAAGCCAUAUGUUUUGGAAUAUUUUAUCAACCAGUAGAGAGAAAAGGUCCCACCAUUGAGGUGAUAAAAAUACUUUUGGAACUUCAGGUAAAACUUUCUCCGAUUAAAAUAGAAUAUCAUGUGAUUCUUAACUAGAUCAAAGAGACGAGACUAAGCCAAAUGCUUUACUAUUCAUUCGAACGAGAAUGCACAAAAGUUUAUACAGGUUAAUAAAUUUCAGAUAUAAAACACAAUGAGGCCGCAUAAAGAUGAUGAGUAGCAUUCUAUUUGACUUGAUUGUUCUGUAAUAUAUGUGAAUUCUACAGUGAUCAAUUUUCUCAAUAUUAAAAAUAUGUCACGAAUAACAAAGCUGAUGAGCAUAGCCAGCACAAUUACAUAGUAACCAAAUGGUCCUAAUCAAAUAGGUGUACUGCUGAGGAUAUAGAAAUUAGUAGUACCUGCGUAGGUGUGAAUUUAACUGAGUUCUGCUUCGGCUGGUCCUGAGGAUAAGGCCCUGGGUCUGGUGGGGUGUAUGCCUCGACAAUAAGUUUCUCCUUCGGGGACACAUCCACCAUAUCAACAUUUUCUGAUGGAUUUACUUCAGAUAUCUUAUUUCCAGAAAGAGCAUAAGCAUUCCCUUUUAGUGUCUUUGGAAGAGUGAUUCGAAACGGAGGCCUUGGAUCCAGAACUUCAGCACCAUCAGCAUUUACGAAAGAUACCUGCGGUGCACGACUUGUGAGAGACAUGGAAAAAGAGGCUGUUCUAGAUCACAUCGUAUACCACAGAAAAUAAUUACUAACCUCAUAAUCUGGAAAACUUUCACUGAGAUGAUUUGCAUCAAGGAAAGUAUCUUUGAAGUCCACGGUUUUCAAGAGGUUUGGCAUAUUAGGCCACUGUGCAGCAGAAGGGUUGCCAUACCCAAGAAAAACGUUAUGCAACCAAUCCGGUACAAUACAAUAUUCAUUCAUGAGAUCUCUGAUAGAUUCCAGAAUAGCCUUGAAGUUGUUCUCUUUUGGUUUCCUCCUCAUUAGCACAUUAAAUGUGCCAUACACAUCCUCAGCACCUUUUUCAGCAAUCUCUGUAACAUCUAUGUGCUACUGUGCAGCAUCUAAAGCGACAGUCACAGUCCUCAUAUCACCUUUUGGGGGCUUCCAUUCAUCCCGUUUAACUUUUCCAGAAAAAUCAUUCAUCAGAUUGCCUUCCUCGUCACGGAUAUCGAUGACUUCACAACCACGAACAUACUGAAGCCCGAGUCUCUGCGGUACUGUAGCUUUAGCAGCUUCCUCUACACCUAACGGCUCAAAUGAAGGGCGUAUACAAAGCAAAAACAGUACAUCAUGCUCUUUAAUGGAAUUCCACUCAGAUCUUAUCUGUGUUCUGUAACUCUUGAUGCUGAAGGUAACUUCUGCAGUCACAGAAGCUGGCUUCUCUUCUCCAAUAUUAGGCUGUUUCACCUGAGCGAUUUUGAAUCCGUUAAUCGGGACGGCCAUUCGUGACCAACCACGAAAAGCAGUUUCUCCCUCGUUAUUUAUGUGUGCAAGUAGAUGUGGUACAGCUUCCUGUAUAUCUUCACGAAUCUCGUAAGUAGAUUCUAGACGGAAGAGAUUGACGUUUCUAAGGAGGUAAUCAUGGAGUGUUAGAAACUGAAGAUUAAGCUUUGGAAGAGCAAGGCAACCUUCCCCAGAAUAGUUAAUGCUUGGAAUAACACUUUCGUCUCACAUGAUUUGCUCAUUUGGGUACAAAGGCAGAGCGUUUAUGGCUUCUUUCUGAGACUGUUGCUUCUCAAAAGAGGAGACCACGACCUCAGUCAGAAAAUCCUUACUAUCUGCCCAAGGAUCAUGUCUUGAAACCAGUUUGAGCUGUACAAAAGCAUACGAAAAUGAGAACGAUUUAGGUGGCGAGGUCGUAAGUUAAAUUGUAAAGGAACAUAAAUGUAUGAAAAAGUAAACUAAAGCCACCAGCAGCAAGAUUCCAUAAUGAUUAAUUUCACAAGUGAACCUACAAGAAUAAGCCUUCCAGAUAUAAUACCUUUGAGCAGACAACAUCCCUUAAAUCUUCAAGAGAAAGCGCAGACAAUCUCCUCCUAAGAUCAGAACUCUUGUGAACCGAACCAAUGUUAGCCAAAGACACAUCUCGCAACUGAAACAAACAAUAUAACAAAAAACCUCUUUUUCUUCACUUGUUUUUUUAGUUCUUGAAAGGACUCUCAAUAAUAUGUUCUCUAAUUUUAUAGGUGUUCAACAAUCGGAGCUAUUAUAAUGACUCCUCUUCUCACUAAGCUUCUUGCUGGCCAGCUUGUUCCCGUUGAUGCUGCCGUGAGUUUUUCUUUGUGACUAGAAAUUAGCAAAGUAGAAUUGUAUAACAAGAUAGUUGCAUCCUGCCAUAACAAAGGAUUUUUUGACAUUAGGGACUAGCUCUUAGCACUUUUCAAGUAGUGUUGGUGCCUACUAUAGUUGGAGGUAAAGUAUUGAGCUCAGUGUUUCUAGAACAAUGAAUUUGCCUAUGAUUCCUUAGGGACUAAAGUCUUUUUUGUAUGCAUUGUGUGACAGUUCUGGCUAAUGAGUUCUUUCCUAAGUUUACGUCGAAGAUUAUAACAGUGACACCUCUAAUAGGAGUCAUUCUCACCACUCUUCUCUGUGCUAGCCCUGUAAGUAAAAUUCCAUAUAACUACAAAAUUGAAUGUUUUAGGAGUGAAAGUAGUAUUUGACUCUUGUGAAAAAAGAUUGGACAAGUUUCAGAGGUUUUGAAAACGCAAGGAGGUCAGCUCAUACUCCCAGUAGCACUCCUUCAUGCUGCAGCCUUUGCUAUUGGCUAUUGGAUUUCAAAGUUCUCUUUCGGCGAGUCCACUUCCCGCACCAUUUCUAUAGAAUGUGGAAUGCAAGUAAGUUAAAUUCUUAUACACCAAUGUAAUAUAUUGCCGUUUGUUUUGGUUAGAAGCUCCUUAUUUAAGAAACUUUUAUUGUUUUGUGCAUAACUGCAGAGUUCAGCGCUGGGGUUCUUGCUUGCACAAAAGCAUUUCAAAAAUCCUCUGGUCGCUGUUCCUUCUGCAGUGAGUGUUGUCUGUAUGGCGGUAAGUCUUCAUAGGCAUUGUUCUUUGAACCAAUGUGUAGUUUAUGUUUAGUGGCAUUGUUGUAACCAUGGUCCAUUGCAUUAUGCAGCUCGGUGGGAGUGGAUUAGCUGUGUUCUGGAGAAACCAACCGAUUCCGGAAGAUGACAAGGAUGACUUCAAAGAGUGAAAAGCUAUUUGUGUCUAUGGGAUUGUAAUGUUUAUAGACAUGAUGCUCCCUUGUGUUUGAUUGAAAGAGAUAAACCAAGAUCUGUGUUAAAAAGGACAAACAAGGGCGCGCAUGUUGAAUCCGUGGUCAAAUUUUUCGUUUGUUUUGGGCUUGCCAAGUUAGUCCCAAGACUUGAGCAAUAACACAACUCUUAAACUGGCUUGGAUGACAGGCGAGAAGCUUGAUUUCAUCCUUGUCUCAACAUUUAAACAUGUCUAUCAGAUUCUAUACGAGUUUCUAAGCAACGACUGUGAUAUACCGCUCAGUGACUCCAUAUCCAUAAAAUUUAUAAUGCUCUAUCUCAUCACCAACAAAACAUUAUCGUAGAUUGAUCCUCUAUAUAUAGAGAAAUAGAAAUCAGUAUGCAUUCGAGGUGUUUAGUGAUUUUACCAGUUACGUGAAAGGAAAACUCAAGGUUUGAUCUGCUCUAAUUCUCAUCAAGCUUUCCCAUUCUCACUGCUAACUCCAUUGUCCACCUCCAUGCUAACCGUCUCCUUUGAUGAUUCGUCAACUACACCAUCUACCUCUGGCUGCAUCUUCUUCUCAGAUUCACCAUCUUCGCUAACAACUGUAUCACUCUCCAUGUGAUUACCGUCUUCAAUUUGUGGCGUGUGAUUCUGGUAUUGCUCGUACACCCCUUGUGCCUGUCCCCAACAGAAAAAAACACACACAAACAUGAAGCAAACGACUUUCCAAACAAACAAAAAUUAGUUAUCCAAGCAAGUUUUGCGUCGGUUACCUUGUAGAACUCGUUCAUCCUAUCGUGAACUAUGUGUGCCAUCUCUUCAACAUCAUGAACGAGGUAAGGAUUUCCAACUUCCUCCACCGCACGAUCUGUAUACGCUGAUGUGUUCUCACUCAGGUUGAGCCCGAGCCUAUCGGGUCUUCUCAGAAGAAGCUGAAACGUUGGUUGCAGCUCAUAGCAUUGUUCAAACAGAGAGCGGCGGCAGAACACGUGACAUUGCAACUACCAACCUUCUUACGUCACGUAGAUGUCCAACAAAGCGUGUCCGUACAAGAGACAGCAAAAUAAAGUCAUUCUGUUGUCCUUGGAACUUAUCCACUGUAGUCACCUGAGGAAACAACAAAACCAAGACGAUCAAAACACCAAAAUAGAUAUGGAAGCAUUGCACACACACAAUGCAUUAACACACGAGAAGGAUAGUUUACCUUGCUAGGCGGGCCGAUGAAAGAAUAAGGAACACAGCGACGGUUGAUAACAUCACGGAUUAAGAGCUUCUGCCCAUUAUACGUCGUCAAUAUCGAUAUCUUAUUAGCAGGAUAUCCUAGCAAUCUCAUGUAUAUAUAGACACUGACGAUAUAUUCAGCUUCUCCUUGAUUUUGAUAAAACCAUGGAGAUGGUGUUGACUCUCCUUUCCCUUCGUAGUCAGGCACAUUAAUCAACUGAUACUCAUAUGAGAAACCAGCAUUUGCUCUAUGAAAGAUGGGUGCUUCCUUAACAAUGGAAAGGUCUCCCAAGUCUCUGUAUCUCCAGUUGUAGAGUUUGGCUAAGCUUGGCCUCGCUCUUCCUUGAGCAUUAAGCUCGAUAUAUGGAAUACCAAAACGAACAAACCUCGUAAACAGACUCUGAUCCA
rnacentral:lncRNA from 1 species